UUGCAUCGAUGAAGAACGCAGCGAAACGCGAUAGGUAAUGUGAAUUGCAGAAUUCCGUGAAUCAUCGAAUCUUUGAACGCACCUUGCGCUCCAUGGCAUUCCGUGGAGCAUGCCUGUUUGAGUGCCGCGAAAUCUCCCACCCCUAGCGGUUGCCGCAAGGCGCCGCCGGGCGACGGGGUUGGUUGGGUGCCGCUGCCUGGGCUUUGGCCCAGGCUCGCCCGAAAUGCAUGAGCGCUUAGCACUCGCACCGUCUCGAGGGAAGGCGGCGGAGCUGGCAUCUGCGCAUGGCAUGAUACGUCAUUUGCUGUGUGGCAGCCCAGCGACCCGAGAGUGUGUGUGCGCUACUACACGCCCUUUCAUUUCUGGUCUCAAAUCAGGUAGGAUCACCCGCUGAACU
rnacentral:rRNA from 1 species